UCUCCCCCUAACAUAUGUCUUUCAUCUAAAGGGAUUGCCUGCAUUGCCUAAGUUCUUGGAAAUAUUAGCAUUAAACUCCUUCACCACUCUCAUUAAAUUUCCCUUUAAAAGUCUACAAUUUUUUCAGUUUGUGAAAUCCAACCAAAUCAACCAAACCUACUCUAAUAAAUUCCUCAAGCAAUACUUUGAACUCCUCUAUAAACUUCUUAUGGGCAGUAAAUGACACAAAUAGAGUCUCAUUUGAUUCAGUAAGGAAACAAUAAUUGAGAGAUGUUACAGCGUUUCUACCUCUAAUAAAGGUAUCAAACCUGAAGAGGUCAAGGUUAGAAGUAGGAGUAUCAAGCUCUACCUUUUGGGGCGGGAGGUGUUGACUGACUAGCAGGUGCUAGUGUUGCUAAACCCUCUCCAACCUUCUGGUUUCCUUUAUCUUCCCUGGUUGCCAUUCUCUAGGACGGUGGAGUUGUUUCAGAAAAUUCAUUCGAAUUUUCACUAGAAGACUUGAACUGUGAGCCUGAUCUUUGAGUCGUAGCUUCAACUAGAGCAGGCACUUCAGUGGUUUGUCCCACAUCAACAAUUCAAUCAACAGUUGGCUGAACCUCCUCAAUGGGGUCAGAAUUGACCGUCAUUUCUUCAGAAUGUUUUGGUGGUCCCUCGGUAUCACCAGACUCAUGAUAUUUAUCUAUCUUCUCCGCAGUACGUAGCUUCCAUUUCAAUCUCAUUAACUGCAAUUAUUCACUUUUCUUUUCCCAAUUCUUACAUGACGAUUGGGAUAGGUAAUGGGGGUAGUUUAUUAACUUGGUUUGACGUGUUACAGCAGUGGGAAGAGUACUCUCCUCUUAUGAUUCUGGUGCAGGAGUUCUUUAGGAGGCUAUGGGACGAUAGCCAUUUCCUCAUCAAAGUCCAAAUGCAUAAGCUCAGAUGGCAUAGGCGCUGGAGUAACAGUUCUCCCCUGUCAUGAACUACAACGCGCCAGUUUUUUGGUGAAGAUGUAUUUGAGAAUGAUUAUAGAAUGAAGAUGUAAUUUUGCCCUAGGUGUGAAAUCAAAGGGAAAAAUAUCCAAGUUUAUAGAAAUUGUAUUUAUAUAAUUGCAAAUAAGGACGUGCUUGGGG
rnacentral:lncRNA from 1 species